rnacentral:snRNA from 1 species
GAAUGUGAAACUCUUUAGAUAUUUGUCUAGAAGGUUUCUCUUAAAGAGAAGCCCAC